rnacentral:piRNA from 1 species
UCCAGUUUUGAGUGAAAUUAAAUUCUAAUU